UUGAACCCACAUACCCUGCACUGGAAGGUGAAGUCUUAACCACUGGACUGCCAGGGAAUUGUGACAAGAAGUUUAUAUCAGUAAUUCAAAUAGAAUCCACUGCUAAGCGGCAAAUCACAUCCCUGAAACGUCUGUCUGCUGAGGGACCUGGAAGCAAUGAGAAGUCAGAGCAAUGAGCAUACCUAAAGCAUACCUAAAUCAGUCACAAUCAAUGACUGAUUGCAGUGGAGUGGCAAGGAAAGUACAAAUGAGCCUAGAACAUCUUCCUAUAUCAGAAAAAACUGAAAGAAUACUGGAAACAUAUCAAAAGCACACCAGAGCCAACUGGGACUUAUUGCAACUGACAAAUUCUGGGACAUUUAAAAUAUUAAAUAAAGGUAGUACAGAUUGUACUGUUUAAAUAAAAAAGAUGACAUGAGCCUAAUACGAGGCAUAGGCAAACUUUUCGGUAAUGGGCCAGUAAUUGUUUUAGUUUUGCGGCCCAAAUAUUAUGUGUUUAUAUAACAAGAAAGAAAAAAGUUUCUACAGCUUUUCUAUUAUAUUUUAUUCAAACUAGAUUAUAAUUUAUAAUAAUUCUUUGUAAUAUAUGUCUACUAAAGACAAGGGUAGACUCACAGAUGUUGGGAGACAGUUUACAGUCUUAGGUAUGUUUAUUUUCUAUAGACGUGUUUCUUUAGAUGCUUUACUCAAACUCUAAUCAACCCAACAUCAAUAAAUAACUUAUUUUGCUUGGCUAACAAAUGAAUCACUGCAUAUUUAUUUUGAUUGCAGUCUCAUUUUUUAUUUUUGUGAAGCGACUUUGUUGAGAUGAAAUAUUCUGUUUAAAAUUUUAUAUUUUUUCUGUCCAUUUCUUUCCUCUGCUUUGCGAGUAUUGCGAUUACUGCUUAGUGUGGUUAUAUUAAUGCAUAUCGUAUUCUUUUAGCUUAGCUAUAGUGUCAUUGUGUAAUAAACACGAUGUUUUACCUAUUCUUCUAUAAAAGUAAUCCAUUCUCCACUGUGCCUUAAAAGCAUGACAUUCAAAUCUACUUUUCUUGUUUCUUCAUAAUGAGCAUGUACUGGUAAUAAAAAGUAAAAUAUUGAAGUAUGGCCAUACAUACUCUGAAAGGCUGUUUCUUUAUAAUGACAUCAUUGUAAUUAUGCUUAUUAUUUGUUUAUGAAUUAUUUCAUCAGUUUUAUUAAUAUAUGACAAAAUACAUUGAAAAUCACUAAUCACAUGCACACAGCCUGAUAAAUAUUCACAAAGUGACCACACCUAUGGAACCAGCACUAAGAUGAAGAAACAGUAUUACCAAGACCACAGGAAUUCUGUCAUUUGCCUUACCAGUUACUAUACCACUCCUAUAGGUAACUUCUCUUUUUCUAAACCCAUAGAUUAUUUUAACCUAUUUUUUUAUCUUACGUAAUGUUUCAUGCAGUAAGUGUCUAGCCUUUUUUCCACUCAAUAGUACGUUUCUGAGAUUCGUGUAUGUUUUCAAUGUGGUUGUAAUUCAUGCAUCCUUAGUAAUGUACACUGUACAUAAACAUUGAGUUCUUUCCUUUGUUGAUUGCUGUGGAUAGUGGUGCCUUGAAAUGUUGAUGAUUGUAAGUUUACUAAUUUUUUCCUUUAAGUUUCUUCCAUUGAUUUAUGCUUCACAGGUUUUUUCCCAUUUGGGAAUUAUGAUCAGAUUCACUUGUAUUUUUCUAGUUAUUCAAAAUGAUUUUAUCUUAAAUUAUUUAACCAGUAAAUACAUAUGGAAUUAGUUUAGUGACUGAGAUGUUAUGGAUAAAAGUAUUUUUUCAACCAAUAGUUAAAUGAUAGAACCAUUAGAUGAUUAUUUCACCUUUGAACCUCUGCUCUUUCAUGUAAACUUUGUGAUCUGGUAAAUUAUUAAAUAGAUGCAUGUGUUUCAUGUGAGUUCUCUAUUUUGACAUUCACGUUUGGUUAAAACCAAAGAAUAAAGUUCACUUAGAAGGAUAAAGGAUUUUUACUUUUUAAUCCCACAUUUAUUUGUAGAUAAAGGAAAAGUACACACUACAGAAAACUCUCUCAAGGGAUUUACAAUUCAUGCUGCAUGCUUUCUGUUUUUCCCUUUAUCUUACAGGCUACUAAUGCAGAGAAUCUCCCAAAUCAUUUUAAUGUUUGAAAUUUCAAAGUGUUUACAAAACUCAUGGCAACGAAUGUAAGCACUGUUCACUAAUUUUGUUUACUAAUAAAGUUUUAUAAUCAACAUUAGCAUGAGAAGUAUGUAUUAAAAUAUAUAUUUAAAUAUGCCCACAAAUUUAGUAGAUUUUUUAUGAUUCUUUUGCAUUGAUUCUACUCCUCAUUUAUGUCCCAGAUAAAAUUCAAGGGAAAAUAUUUCAUCUUCCUUUGGAAUACUCUGUCAAAUGUUUCAUUUUGCUCCACGGUCAAGUGAUGUUUCCAGUCUCCGAUGGUACCUAGUGGGACAAGCACAUCAACAACAACUGGUCUUUUUUGUUGUAGACAUUAUGGGGGUAUGAAAUGGAAUGUCUUUGUGCUGCAGAAGAUUCAAGAAUAUUGUAAAGGAUUAUCAAAUCAAAAUAUUAAGUAAUAGUGCUGUGCAGAACCACACUGAGGCAAGAAAGAAAGUCAGUACUUAUUUAAAAUUUGGAUAUUUGUUUACCAUCAAUUUUACAUUAAUUUUUAUAUUUUUAAGUAUUGCACUAAAAUAGUAUUUAUCUGGAUUGCUGAGUUUUUGGUGCCUCUUUAAAUCUUCACCUAAGGUAAGUGCCUCAGUCACCUCCCUGUACUCCAUGGUAGUUCAAAAAGGCACUCAGGGUUACCUGGCGUCCAUCACCAAGAACAUUAAGUAGAAAGGCCUGGAGGUGGCGUCACAUAGAGCUUUCAGGUAAGGAAACGUUUUUGCAUAAAUGAAGGUGCUCAAUGGACAAGUAAAAUGAAGCCAUAUUAUUGACAGCCUCAACCAGAUACUUAAUAUAAAUAAUAAGAAACCUGAAAAUUAUUGGAAUGUGAGCUGCUACCACAUGCCCAAGGUGUUAAAAAAUAGGUAAUUGGCUUUGACCAUAGCAGUGUAAACAUAUUUAAUGUGAUAUAAUCAUUAAAUGAAUAUGAAGUAUACUCCAAAUUUGGUGGUAUCUUUUUUUAUUUUAAGCAUUUUAUUUGGUUGUAUCUUUAAUAUAUUGAUUCUUGUGGAACUCUGACUAUUUUGAAAAUAUGGAUCCAGAACAUUUACCACCUAUAACUUUUGAAUAUAUAUAUUUUUAAACUUCUUAAUAUUAAUUUGGAUGUGUCUUCUAACAUUAAAAUUUCGUCCUUAUAGCAUGUGAUGAAUUCAUGCCUAUUUAUCUAAAGGCCCUUAAGAAGUUAGGACCUGUUACCAAAUGUGUUUGCUUUAAAAGGUAAAGAUUAAUGCUAACGUCUUUAAAACUGUCACAAAAGGAAAGGGUUAGGCACAUUCUCAAAGGUAUUUAUUUAAUGUCUUUUUUUUUUUUUUUUUGCUAUUAUCAACUAGUUUUGUGGGAUUCUACUUGAGAUAGGAAGUGUCUCUGUGUACACGUAAUUUUUUACAUUGGGAGGUUGGGAUUUCUCUCUUUCUGACAUUGGUGCUCAAUUCAUAAUGAAUCAACACACUUUGAGGCUGCCCGAGGGAGCUUGAACAGAAGGGGGGAAAUUUGAAGAUUUAAUAUUUAAUCCUGAAUAUUUUAGUCCACCACAAAAUUUAACACAUUUCUCAGUAUGAAAAUGUAUGAGGUGGUUCUGAUGAAACAGAGGUGAAAAUUAGAAUAAUAGGUUCUUCUACUAACGGUGGGAGCUUGAAAAAAAUUCACAUAACCUCUGAUCCUCAGUUUUCUCACCCAGAAGAUGAAAAUCCUGUAUAUGAAAAAUAUAUUUAAAAAGGAAAAUUAAUAAACAAAUUCAAAACUGGUCAGUUAACAGUGAACUUCUUCACAGGGCUUUGUCUACAAAUCCAGCCCACCUUUCCCACUUGCACCUUAUUCCACCUGCUCUACACAGCCAAAUUACAGUAAAGAAGUCUACUGCUGUGGACUGAAUGUUUGUGUCCCCCCAAAAUUUAUAUAUUAAAUUAUAACCCCCAUGGUGAUGAUGUUAGGUGUUAGGGCCUUUGGGAAGUGAUGAAUGGGAUUAGAGUCCUUAUAAAAGAAGGCCUUGGAAUCUCCCUUGCCUCUUCUGUCAUGUGAAGUACAGAGAGAAGACAGCCAAGAAAGCAGAUUUCACCAGACAUGAAUCUGCCCUUGUCAUAACCUAAUAAAGUUAGUUUUACAACAUGCUUAUAGAUUCCUGAUUGAACUUUUUAAAAAUAAACUAUGUUAACUGUUUUCACGGAAAGUUUAGGAGACAUACACACACACACACACACAUCAGAUAGCUCCUCUGAUCAAUACAAAGAAGCCAUAGAUCAAUGUCACAAAGUGUGGCUGAAGACCCCCCCACAAAUCUCAGUCUUCGGGACCUCACCCAAAACCUGAGAAAUUAGAAUCUCUGUGGGGUGGAGCCUUGAAAUCUGUCUUUUCACACACUCACCCGGACAUUUCUAUACACUUAACAUUUCAAAAAACUGCUGUUACAGUAUAUGUGUAUUUAGUUUGGAAGAGAACUUUGUCUCACUAACAGAAGGUCAUUUGGGGAAGGUAAAGUCUCAGAUGAUUUGUGUAAAAAAUGGUAAGAAAUAUGUUUUUCAUAUUGACAGGAGCAUCUACAUAUAUAUAUAUUGUGAAACAACUAAACCAGUUAAUCAACUGGAAUAUAAUAAAAUAUUGUUCAGGGUUACAUAUCAGAAAUCUUGGUUCUUCCACAGAUGAAUUUAGGUUCAUCAGUUUACCUCUCUUCUUGGAAUACAUGAUAGUUCAAUAAAAUUACACAUAAAAGUGCUUUCUAUGUUAACAGGACAACAGGAGGACACUUAAGGAACAUGUUCAGAUGAAUGAGUUUAUAUGACAAAGUGUGUCACAUUUUGGAAAUAAUUAGGUAAAAUACUUGUGCUAUUUAGGGUCAUGCACUUGGGCUAGCUAAUUUAAUUAUAUAGGUUGUGACUCACUCUCUCACUUAAGACCCAUGAUUUCCUGCAAAUGUAUUUGAGGGUUAAAAAUAGCAAGAGUGAAAUUCCAACUCCAAAGUGUCAGUUGGCAUUUAAGUCUACAGUUGAAAGAUAGACAAGCGAACUCUUCAGAGUUGGAGGGUGGUCACCAUAAUUGGUCAAUUACAGCAGCUAAGAGGGUAGCUAUGGUAAUACACUUUAAUACAAAUCAUCCUUUAAAAUUGGGUUAACAACUUUCUUUCCUGAAUAAGAAGGAUAUAAUAGGUCAUGAGAGGCCAAUGCUCCCAUGGUGAAAACCAGUAAAAAACAGGUAAAGUACAAAAAUUAAAUUUAAAAAUCCCUUAGAUCUCUGGAAACUAUAAUUACUAGAUAAACUAAAAGUCUAGAGAGGAAGAGCCCUUUGUAGGUGAAGCAUCAUUAGUUGUCUUUUCAGGGUGCAUGUGCCAAUUCUGGGCUUUUGGGCCAGAAUUUGAAACUUUAGGGCAGCAGGAGAUUAUAAAGAACUAAAAUCAGCACUUCCAAAAAGGAGAACUAAAUACUCCCAUUUUUAAGGACUCAUGAAAGAUACUUACUGGGCAGUCAGUGGAAGGAGGAUAAACCAAAUGUAGACUUGAAUUAUAUUAAAAUAGCAACUCAGUCCCCAAACAACUUAAUCCUUGAAAAUGAGCUAAAAGGCAAGAAAAGAAUAUCAAAGAGUUUCCAGUUCUACAGUCAGACCAGGUUUUGCAUCAUAAUGCUAAUGCUUACUAAAUAUUUGCCCUUGGGAAAUUUAGUUCACCUCCCUACACCUCUUGUUUUCUUAUUUAGGAAAUGGCACUUACCUCAUUCAUUUUUUGUUAAUAAUAAAGGAGAUAAUUCAUGUGAAAAUCUAACUCCAUUCUGGUAUGCAGAAGGUGCCAAUAUUUAUUUAUUUUUACAUCUUUAUUGGGGUAUAAUUGCUUUACAAUGGUGUGUUAGUUUCUGCUUUAUAAC